rnacentral:ribozyme from 1 species
UGCCCAGCAACUCCUAUUCCUACCUCCUCGCGGUACUGGCCGGGGUACGAGUAACCUUAGAGAAGAUCGGGUAACCAACCCCCGGUGGGAACUUUGGUCGUAUGCUGACAGGGAAGG